UUUGAUCGAUGAGAAGUUCUCUUCUUUUACAUCAAAAGAUUAUACAAGUAGUGAUAAAAUUACAGACAGGGCUCAUACAUCCAAGUGACAGAGACAGUUUACAAAUUUAAAACCCUGGUUCUUGGUUUUUGGUUUUUUCCUUACAAAGUGGUGGGCAUUGAGCUGCUCUGUGGAGUAAAUGACUGGUCCGCCUCCCCUUGGAGGCUUGGCGAAGCCCCUCUCUUCAAUGAGCAAACCACCGUACUUCAUCAGCAGCUGGCGGUGGUCUAUCACGGCCUUCGCUUCCACUUCCGCAACCUUAUUACCAUUCUCCAUCACAUACUUCCUGUUCUCCUCACUCUUACCAUCCCUUUCCUCAGCUCCACUCUUGGGGAACCUCAAAUGAGGAUUUCUCCACUUUUCCAUUCUCCCCUUUCCUUGCGCUUUGCUUCUUUUCUUUUCUAGCUUUGCUUAUUGUUACUCUCCAUGAUUUUGCUGAUUUAUAGACAUGAAAUGUUUAGGAAUCACCUCCAUCUUUUUUGGGGUGCUGUAUUUCCUCAGUAUCCGAACUCCUAAUUCUAGUUGGAAGGUUCUCAUUCCUCCAUCUCCACUGGGGAUGGUGUAGAGUGUGCCAAGAAAACAUAGAUGCUAAGUGCUGGUUCUUGUAUUUCACACGCUACUUAGUCAGAGGUUGGGUACAUGCGUUGAGAGAAUAAACUUUUUUUGGGUCAAUUCAGUGCAUUCAUUGGGGCGCACUCGGCCUGGACUAACAUGGGUUGCUCGGAUAUGAGAAACACACAGAAUUUUUCGAUCAUUUGCCCAGGUUCUUCAAUAAGUAGACUAGACUACUUAUGGAAGAGGAUGAAGGCCCAAGAGCAGUGCCUACAAGAGUUAGUUUAGGGCCUGGUUUCGAGCAUUUUGCGUGCGCGGCUCUGGUUCGAGGGUUGGAG
rnacentral:lncRNA from 1 species